AACAAUUUAAAAAUAUGUUAAGUAGUCAGUAAAGAAAUGUGUAAUAUGUUAAGUAGUCAGUAAAAAUAUUGGAGCAGGUAAUAAUUUUACGGAAAAAUUAAUGAUUUGGUCUAUAAACGCAAAGAAAUGUGUAAUUCUUGAGUAAGUGCUUUUCCUUCGUACUCUGUUCUUGAACUUAAUAAGGAAAAAAAGUGCUACCCAUUUUGAGAUUACAUUCUUCUAUGUUGCCUUAAUCCUUCCACUCUAAUUUGAGCUACUGCUCUUUCAGGUUCCUUUGGCAUGGUAAGAACUUUUUUUGUCAGAAUCUUACACAGCUGACUUUUUUACGCUCUAAAAAUUUGGUUGUUACUUUUGAUCUCUUUGGUGUUAAAAAAGACAAAAUCAUUAUAUCCGUGACUGUCAUAAAUUAAACUUCGACAAAAAAGUGUCCCAAAGUUAGAUACUUGUCUUCAUAUCAUAAAUUUGUCUUCCUGUUCGAAUUUUCCAAUUUAUCACUAGAAGAAUUCCGUUUUUGAUUAUUGCAGUAAUAUUCUCUAUCAAUUUCAGUAUGUUGCUGUGAAAAUUCUCAUGGAGCAAGACUUCCAUGCUGAGCGCGUCAAUGAGUUCUUGAGAGAGGUUGCGAUAAUGAAGCGCCUUCGCCACCCUAACAUUGUUCUCUUCAUGGGUGCGGUCACUCAACCUCCAAAUUUGUCAAUAGUGACAGAAUAUUUGUCAAGAGCUAAUUAGAAAGAAAUUAGAUGAGAGACGUCGCCUGAGUAUGGCUCAUGAUGUGGUAUGUCUGAUUUUCUUUAGUCACAUGUAUCAUGUAUGGGUGCGUAUUAAGUUGAUUGCUUUCUGAUCUUGGUGUUUCUUCACAUAGAAUUUAUUUUCCAGUUAUCUGAUGCAGGCUAAGGGAAUGAAUUAUCUUCACAACUGCAAUCCUCCAAUUGUGCAUAGAGAUCUAAAAUCUCCAAACUUGUUGGUUGACAAAAAAAUAUACAGUCAAGGUUUGAAUCGAAAUUAGAAACUGUUGUGUCCAAUGUCUUGAGUUUGAUAUUUUAGUAACAUCAUUCCUCUUCUAGUCUCGUGAGAGCAGCUUAGAUAUUCUAUUUUAAACAUAUUAAAUCAUCUUGGGGACAUUGCAAAAAGGCUUUAACCUGCUGAACUUAAAAAAAACGGCAGUCUCAAACUAUCUCUGGUUUAAGAAUUGUCCUUGAAUAGACUUCAUGAUGCAUAUGUUUCAUUACCAGUGAGCCAUGGAAGCGUCCAUAAUUUUGCAACUAUAAUGGACUUGCUAAGACCAUUGAUAAAAUCAGCGGUUCCUCCGCCCAACCGCUCGGAUUUGGAGGAAAUUAAAUGAAGUAAUGGAAACAGUGUGGGGGAUAAUCUUAAUCUAUCUAGUCCCAAAGGGUAAGCAAUAUUUUGUUGUUAUUAUUUCUAAUUACAUUGUUGUACAUUAAUACAGCUAAAUUAGUUGCCGAACGAAGCUAAAAAAAGCAGCUGCAAAAUCCUGUUGCAAACUUAAUAUGAUUUACAUACACUGUGC